AUUGAACGCUGGCGGCAGGCCUAACACAUGCAAGUCGAGCGGAUGAAGGGAGCUUGCUCCUGGAUUCAGCGGCGGACGGGUGAGUAAUGCCUAGGAAUCUGCCUGGUAGUGGGGGAUAACGUCCGGAAACGGGCGCUAAUCCCGCAUACGUCCUGAGGGAGAAAGUGGGGGAUCUUCGGACCUCACGCUAUCAGCUGAGCCUAGGUCGGAUUAGCUAGUUGGUGGGGUAAAGGCCUACCAAGGCGACGAUCCGUAACUGGUCUGAGAGGAUGAUCAGUCACACUGGAACUGAGACACGGUCCAGACUCCUACGGGAGGCAGCAGUGGGGAAUAUUGGACAAUGGGCGAAAGCCUGAUCCAGCCAUGCCGCGUGUGUGAAGAAGGUCUUCGGAUUGUAAAGCACUUUAAGUUGGGAGGAAGGGCAGUAAGUUAAUACCUGGCUGUUUUGACGUUACCAACAGAAUAAGCACCGGCUAACUUCGUG
rnacentral:rRNA from 1 species